rnacentral:rRNA from 1 species
GACGAACGCUGGCGGCGUGCUUAACACAUGCAAGUCGAACGGUGAACUCCGCUUGCGGGGGGAUCAGUGGCGAACGGGUGAGUAACACGUGGGCAACCUGCCCUCAGCUCUGGGAUAACUCCAAGAAAUUGGGGCUAAUACCGGAUAUGACCGCUGACCGCAUGGUCUGGUGGUGGAAAGAUUUAUCGGCUGGGGAUGGGCCCGCGGCCUAUCAGCUUGUUGGUGGGGUAGUGGCCUACCAAGGCGACGACGGGUAGCCGGCCUGAGAGGGUGACCGGCCACACUGGGACUGAGACACGGCCCAGACUCCUACGGGAGGCAGCAGUGGGGAAUAUUGCGCAAUGGGCGAAAGCCUGACGCAGCGACGCCGCGUGGGGGAUGACGGCCUUCGGGUUGUAAACCUCUUUCAGCAGGGACGAAGCGAAAGUGACGGUACCCGCAGAAGAAGCACCGGCCAACUACGUG